rnacentral:tRNA from 1 species
GGGAACGUGAGCCAGUUAAAUCAGCUUCGUCCGAGCGCUUCCCAAGCUGUAUGUCGUGGGUUCGAUUCCCAUCGCCCGCUCCA